AAAGAAACUAACAAGGAUUGCCUCAGUAGCGGCGAGCGAAGCGGCAACAGCCCACAGUGAAAAUCUCUUGUCUCCGGCAAGAGAGUUGUAAACUGUAGAGCUUCGCAGAAGGAACGUGCUCGGCAGAACCGCCUGGAACGGCGGAGCAGAGAGGGUGACACUCCCGUACCUGGCCAGAGCGCGUCCGUAUGCGAGGUUUCAAAGAGUCGGGUUCUUUGGGAAUGGAGCCCAAAUUGGGAGAUAAACUUCUUCUAAGGCUAAAUAUCCAUGGGAGACCGAUAGCGAACAAGUACUGUGAAGGAAAGAUGAAAAGAACUUUGAAAAGAGGGUGAAAAGACUUGAAUUCGCUGGGAAGGAAGUGGUGGAAAAAAUCGCUCGGGCGCGACGUUCGCUCCGAGGCCACCGGCCACGCUUUCGUAAGGUACUUAAUCGGCCUGCGGGGGCGCGCGUAACGGGGGCCGGGAGCCUUUUCGCGUUUGGGGACCAGAGUGAGGCGACACUGCGUGAGACGCUUAACGGGACGCCCCUGCUUGCAGGAGCCCGGGAAGACUGGCGCAGAGGAGCCUGAGGGGACUUCGGUCGACUCUGGUGAGAUGGUUUCCACCGGCCCGUCUUGAAACACGGACCAAGGAGUCUAGCUGUCGUGCGAGUCUGCGGGUGUAAAAACCCAUAGGCGAAAUGAAAGUGAGUGCAAGGAGCGCACCGCAAGGAGCAGCUCCGGCCGACCUUGAACUUCUGUGAAGGGUUUGCGCACGAGCAGGGCGGCUAGGACCCGAAAGAUGGUGAACUAUACUUGAGUAGGGUGAAGCCAGGGGAAACUCUGGUGGAAGCUCGAAGCGGUACUGACGUGCAAAUCGUUCGUCAAACUUGAGUAUAGGGGCGAUAGACUAAUCGAACCAUCUAGUAGCUGGUUCCCUCUGAAGUUUCUCUCAGGAUAGCUGGGACACAACGCAGUUUUAUCAGGUAAAGCGAAUGAUUAAAGGAAUUGGGACUCCAAGAGUCUUGACCUAUUCUCAAACUUUGAAUUGGUAAGCACCUUCAGUUUUCUUAAUUGAACUGAGGGGUUUAAUGCGUGUCCCAUGUGGGCCAUUUUUGGUAAGCAGAACUGGCGAUGAGGGAUGAACCUAACGUCGAGUUAAGGCGCCCAAUUCCUCGCUCAUCAGAAACCACAAAAGGUGUUGAUUCAUUUAGACAGCAGGACGGUGGCCCUGGAAGUCGGAACCCGCUAAGGAGUGUGUAACAACUCACCUGCCGAAUGGAUUAGCCCUGAAAAUGGAUGGCGCUGAAGCGAGGAGCCCAUACUCGACCAUUGGGGCAAACGUGCCGCCCCAAUGAGUAAGAGGGCGUGGACGUCGUGCCGAAGCUGGUGGCGUGAGCCUCAGUGGAACGGCGUCCAGUGCAGAUCUUGGUGGUAGUAGCAAAUAUUCAAAUGAGAACUUUGAAGGCCGAAGUGGGGGAGGGUUCCGUGAGAACAGCAUUUGGUCACGGGUUACUCGGUCCUAAGGCAUAGGGAAGCUCCUUGCAAUACAAGAGCGCUUUGCUCGUUGCCGAAAGGGAGUGCAGUUAACAUUCUGCAAGCUGGCCGUGGAUAUAGUGUGGUAACACAAGCGAGCUCGGAGACGUGGGUCCGGCCCCCUGGAAGAGUUAUCUUUUCUUUUUAACUAGCCGCCGCCCUGGAAGUGGAUUAUCCAGAGCUAGGGCUCCGCGCUAGGCAGAGUGGCGCACUAUAAGCGCCAUCAGGUGCGUUCGGGACCACCCUUGAAAAUCUGAGCAAGAGAUCUAUUGC
rnacentral:rRNA from 1 species